rnacentral:rRNA from 1 species
AAGUCGUAACAAGGUUUCCGUAGGUGAACCUGCGGAAGGAUCAUUAUCGAGUUCUGACUGGGUUGUAGCUGGCCUUCCGAGGCAUGUGCACGCCCUGCUCAUCCACUCUACACCUGUGCACUUACUGUGGGUUUACGGGUCGUGAAACGGGCUCGUUUAUUCGGGCUUGUUGAGCGCACUUGUUGCCUGCGUUUAUCACAAACUCUAUAAAGUAUCAUAAUGUGUAUUGCGAUGUAACGCAUCUAUAUACAACUUUCAGCAACGGAUCUCUUGGCUCUCGCAUCGAUGAAGAACGCAGCGAAAUGCGAUAAGUAAUGUGAAUUGCAGAAUUCAGUGAUCAUCGAAUCUUUGAACGCACCUUGCGCUCCUUGGUAUUCCGAGGAGCAUGCCUGUUUGAGUGUCAUGAAAUCUUCAAUCUACAAACUUCUUAUGGAGUUUGUAGGCUUGGACUUGGAGGCUUGUCGGUCCCUUUACAGGUCGGCUCCUCUUAAAUGCAUUAGCUUGGUUCCUUGCGGAUCGGCUUGUCGGUGUGAUAAUGUCUACGCCGCGACCGUGAAGCGUGUUUGGGCGAGCUUCUAACCGUCUCGUUACAGAGACAACUUUUAUGACCUCUGACCUCAAAUCAGGUAGGACUACCC